rnacentral:rRNA from 1 species
GUUCGCCUACGGGACGCAGCAGUGGGGAAUAUUGGGCAAUGGGCGCAAGCCUGAACGAGCAAUGCCGCGUGAACGAGGAAGGUCUUCGGAUCGUAAAGUUCUGUUGAAGGGGAAAAAGAGCGGAGAGGGGAAAUGGUCUCCGAUUGAUAUUACCCUUCGAGGAAGUCACGGCUAACUACGUGCCAGCAGCCGCGGUAAUACGUAGGUGGCGAGCGUUAUCCGGAAUGAUUGGGCGUAAAGGGUGCGUAGGCGGCCUGCUAAGUCUGGAGUGAAAGGUACCGGCUCAACCGGUACAGGCUCUGGAA